GACGUAGGGGGCAAGCGUUGUCCGAAGUUACUGGGCGUAAAGCGCGCGUAGGCGGGUUGGUAAGUCCGCUGUGAAAGCCCGGAGCUUAACUCCGGAGGGUCGGUGGAUACUGCCAGUCUUGAAGGUGCUAGGGGGAGAUGGAAUUACCGGUGUAGCGGUGAAAUGCGUAGAUAUCGGUAGGAACACCAGUGGCGAAGGCGGUCUCCUGGGGCAUUCUUGACGCUGAGGCGCGAAAGCUGGGGGAGCAAACGGG
rnacentral:rRNA from 1 species